rnacentral:misc_RNA from 1 species
AAAAUUUAUUAAAGAGCGAGCAAAGUACAACCUCUGAGGGCGAGCUAUGCUCGUACCCUUGUAGAUCAAACUAGGUAUGAAAUGGUAAAUCCUAAAUCCUCUUUACAACAACCUCGAACAAGCCGGGGAAACAGAAAAAAGGGAACUCAAGAAACUAGCAAGCGAUAGAGCUACAUAGAUUGACAUAAAAGGAUGAUUAUGCAGAUGUUGAACUGGUAAAAAGAGACUAUUUCAUAAAUAUUAUGGUAAAACCUGGUGCGGAUUCUUUUUACUGCAUCUUCUAGUCGCCCGUAACCAGCUUAUUGACCAACAGUAACAUAUCAGUUCCUGAGCAUUUCUUGUGCAGAAAAUCCAAAAUAGUUAUCGAAGAAGUUCGAUGGUUCAUAGAUGAAGCAGGAAAUGACAUCUCUGAGUGUGAUCACACCAACAACUUCAUCGCCAUCCUCAGCUGUCACAUAGAUCCUGUGAA